GACAGAGGUUGCAAACGUUGUUCGGAAUCACUGGGCAUAAAGCGCACGUAGGCGGUCUGUUAAGUCAGGUGUGAAAGCCCCCGGCUCAACCGGGGAACAGCAUCUGAUACUGGCAGACUCGAGGAUGGUAGGGGUGAGUGGAACUCCAGGUGGAGCGGUGAAAUGCGUAGAUAUCUGGAGGAACACCGGUGGCGAAAGCGGCUCACUGGACCAUAACUGACGCUGAGGUGCGAAAGCGUGGGGAGCAAACAGGG
rnacentral:rRNA from 1 species